rnacentral:lncRNA from 1 species
CUAGGAGUUGUCUUUGCUAGCCAUCCACCAUGGCAGAACGAGAAUUAUUGCUAAUGGGAAGGCGGGAAGGAGUGAUGUGCCUCAUCCCAGGAGACAAUUCUUCUGGGUGUCUUGUUUUUCCGUAUGACAGAAAAGCUUUUGUUUGAAGAUCUUUUCAAGGCCAUUUAGAUAGCAACCAUCCUUGUGUAAGAGAUACAGACUCUCCCUGGGACCAAGAGCAGUUUUUUGUUUUGUUUUUUAAUGUACAGGCAAAUAACAAAGUCUCUUGUGGGCAAAACUGGGCCAAGAUUGUUUGCAGACUCUUUCAUAGGACCUGGCUUCCUAGACUCACAGUGCUCAGAGGUGCAUAUGCAUACCCACCUGGGCUGCUGUUCCCAGGGAGCCUGGGGCUGGGGGAGGAUUACAGAAACACCAAACACAUCUUUUGUGCCUUCUCUCACCAUCUAUGACAGUGAGGCUUACUGUCUUGUGUGCUGGCAGCAGGGCAGGCUCCCAUUGCUUCCCAGUCCUCAGUGCCUAUCACAGGCCGGACUGGUGGAGCACAGUGAAGAGGAGGCUGGUGUGAACUCCAGGGCAGAAGACGACGGUACAGUCAUUCCUGAGAGGGAUAGGACAAUAUCUGGCUUUGUAGGCAGACAGGAGCAGAGCAGGGGCAUCUGUAAGGGUGUAAUCCAUAGGAGAGGGCCUUGGUUCAACCUUAGAUAGGCAAGCUCUAUAAACACAGCAAGCUCUUGGGUUGCCUUCUCCCUCUGUCUCUUGGCUGCAUUAGUGUUCCCUCAUAAUGCCAACUGCAGACUUUAUUUUUUUUAAGCCAAACUUUAUGAAGCACUUAGGGAAUCUAAUUCCUGAAACUGGAGCCUAGGAAUCUGGAUUACUUAUGGAUGUAAAGGUGGAUCUGUCUAUUUUCUGUGGUAAGUGGGAAGGCACUUGGAGUGGCACUGUUAGAUUAGAAGUGGCGGAAGUGCCUUACUGUAGAGGCAAGCUUUGAGGGUUCACACACGCAAGCCACACUCAGUGACACAGUUCACUUCCUGUUGCCUGGGGAUCGAAAUGUAAAACUCUCAGCUCUUCUUCAUUCCCACAUCUGCCUGCAAGCCUACCAGCCGUGAUGAUAAUGG